GGGGUUGUGGCUCAGCGGUCAAGUGCUCACCUAACAUGUGCGAGGCCCUGGGUUCAAUCCUCAGCACCACA
rnacentral:tRNA from 1 species